CUUUCUAUACUUCUGCACUACAGAGGAUUGGACAUAAAGCAUAUGUCAUCUUAGAAGUGUAUUUGAAAAGGAAAUAAAAACACAACGCUGCAUUUUGGGGUAGGACAGGCACACAGGAAGCUUUAAACAGAUUGUAAGACAACCAGUUUGUGUACCUGGUCAGCUGCUGUAUCUUUGGAGGAUGCUGUCGGAAGGUUACCUUCACAGAAUUGCCUACCUUUGUGAAGACCUGAGCUCUGAGCUCUGCACCAAUGUGGCAGCUGAGGAAGUGGUGUAUGAAAUGAGGUCCAUUAAUUAUUCUUCCAGGGAUGAAGCACAAGGAAAAAGCUUCCUUCAGAGAUGCAGAUCUGCUGGCAAAUGUUUUUCCUCAGUCCACUCUAAAGGCAGCAAACACAGCAAAAGGCAGAAGGAUAACCUCCUGCAGCCCACGCAGCACCCAGCACCCGCAGGGCAGACAUCUCCAGCUAUGGACAUCUGCGAGGGGCUGGCAAGAAAAGACACCUACCUGGUUCCAUCCUCCUGCAAAAGCAUCUGCAAGAAUUACAAUGACUUGCAUAUAGCUGGGGACUAUGUGGUGCCUAUUAGCUCAGUGGCGUCAGAUUUUACCUGCGACAGUGGCAUUGGCCCCUUCCUGGAGUCCUCAGAGAUUCCGCCGCCGAUGGAGUCCAUGAAGGUCCCCCCCAGCGAGACCAUCCGCAGGCCAGUCCAAGGCUUCUCGUCGUGCUGGCGGCUGGCGAGCUUAAUGCCACACCAGCAGCCUCUCUCUGACUCAGCCCUCAAUGACUACCUCGAGCAGAAGCUGGUGGAGCUGUACAAGCAGUACAUCAUGGACAGCACAGCAAACAGGGCAUCCCCCACUCAGAUCCUGGCCUCGGAGCUCAUCAUGACUAACGUAGACCAAAUCAGCAUGCAGAUAUCACGAGAGAGGAAUAUGGAGACCACCAAGGCCAAAGACAUUGUCAUCAGCCGCUUCCUACAAAUAGCCAGUGAACAAAUAUCCUCUGAAAUUAGCACACCCAGUCUGCAUAUUUCCCAGUACAGCAACACUAAUGUGUAGUAUUUGAAUUUCUACAGUUAGACAGCUUGUAGGUUCUGCAAACUCAUUUUUGUUUUUUAUUUUUUUAUCUCUUCAGACAUCUUUCUGCUUCGUUAAAAUUUAUUUACUGUCUACCAGUUACAUUUUCCAGCACAUAUUAAGUAAAAAUAUCUGUAUUGCACAGAUGUCCCCCUAUUGUGCGCCAGAUGAAUUACAUUUUUUAAAAAAUGUUUUUUCCCGAAGGCUUAUUUCAGUGAGUGAGUCAUGGACAUUAAAAAAAAAUUUGGUAGAAAAAUGACUAAGAGCAUAUGACACUCUUCCAGAUGCUCUCUUUCUUCCCCCUUGACAUCUCAUUUCAACUUUCCUCCCCUGGAAUAUGCCAUCCUACCUGAGGGUCUUUGUGAAGCUAAGGCUCACACCCCUGAAAGUGCAGGGAUCGCAGAGCCACAGAAACAGAAAAUUCAGGAUGCCAUCUGGUUCAUCUCCCUGACCCAAACUGCUUUACUUACAACACCUCUGUCAGAUGUUUUUUUUUUUUUUAUUCUGUUCUUAAAGAUGCCAAGUAAUAGACACUUUACAGGUUCUUCUAUAUUAGCUCUAAUGAAUCCAUUGGUGUUUUCCUAUUCAAAAGUUACCAUCCCUUUUUGCAAAGCAAAACUCCGUUUCCAGACAGACUUCUUCAUCAGCGGGAGUGUGCGUGUAUAGCUGUAUAUUUUGUGCCGAGCUGAACUUCUACGACAGACGCCGGUGACUUGUGAUGACAGACAGACACCAUGUUUGUCAGCGACUUACAGACCUGUGGCUGUGGAGUGGUCGUGUACGGAUAGUGGUGAUAAUAAGGUACAUGAUCCAGGUGAAAUUCCAGGCUUCUGCUUCCAGUGCCUCUUCUCAGAUGACGCUUAUCCAUCUUUUAGACAUCCCAGCAUCUUCCAAACUCAAGAAGAAACUUCUGUGCUUGACAUAACCAUGGCUCAGGACAACUUCUCACACAAUAUUCACAGUGCAUAUUUACCAGACACUACAUGUCACUACUACAUCCCCUUAUUCUCGCUGCUGCAUGCAUGUAUCAGAAGUUCUUCACCUUCCUUCUUCAAGGAAUUUGGACCUCCCUGGCUUCAGUCUCACAACAGCUGAAUUUUAUCAAGAGCUAUUCCAGCCAGUGCAAGUGCAGUUCUUAGUAUACAUCUGGUAAAGAUUCCUUAGUUCUGUUAGCCUAUCAUCUAUUGCCAAAAAAAAUCCAAAGGGGUCCUCUGGACACACAAAAUCGUUAAAGAUUUGCACAGAAGGUCUCAUAAGAAAUAUACAUGUGAAGGCUGUAGGAGAUUUCUGAAGGAGAAUAAUAAAUGCUAGAAUCAUAUUCAUUAAGUCAACUUGAAACAGUUAAAAUAAUAGAUUCAUCCUUCUGUAAAAUAAUACAUUACUUUUCAGGCAGGAACAUGAUUAUUUCCUUAUGAUUUCAUCAUAUAUCUGAAGUACUUGUGUAAGAGUUAAUUAAUUUAGUGUCAUUUGUCAUUACAUACACUAUAAGGGUUAUUGAACCAAUUAUGUAUUCAAAAUAUUCUAUUGUGUUAAAAUAUCAAAGGCAGUUGUAAGAAGAUAAAACAGUUUGAGGUUACAUUCAGGUUACGUCCCAAUUAUCGCUUACUGUGAAAUGAAGUUCAUUAGUGACCUGUUUCUUCAUUCAGCUCACAAAACGAUCAGCAGCAUAUUGGAAAAAUCCAUGGUACAUAUUCUUUUACCUAAUGAAGUCAUACAGCCUGUGAUCCUUGUCUACAAAUUGUGACCAGCAUAUUUUAAAAUGCAACAGAGCAAAGGAAGAGGAAAAAGAAUAUGUGAUCUUUCAAAUACAAAUUAAAGAAAAAUAGGUGAAUUGUAUCAUCUUUACGCCAGUUAAAUAGCAUUUUUCUUUGCAAGUCAUUAACUCAAUGGACUGAGUCAUGAAACAAAAUGUUAUUCAGUUUAAGUGAGGGCACCACAUGAAAGCCUUUAAUAAAAGAAAGCAAGCAAAUUUGUUCAAAAUAAUUGGAUCCAAUUAAUUAAAUUGAACAGUAACUUCAGUGACAUCAUUGCAACUUAGAGUGAAGCUAUGUGUUCAGGUGCUCCAACUAAGAUUAAAGUUCCCAAUAUGGGAUAUCCAAAUCUGAUAAUUUUGAAGGCAGUGUAUAUCUGUGUGUCUGCUGUUAUUUUUUCAAACUUAUUAAUAGAUGGGAUAGGGAUAGACUAUGAAGAGAUGCACCCUGUUUAUUUUUAUUCAUGUUUGAUGACAUAGAGACAGGGUAGCAAUGGAGGAAUAAAGAGCGAAGAAUUAUUUGGUCAAGACAAGGAAUUAGUAAGAAAAAAAAAAGGAAUUGGGGGGAGGGUGAUCAAGGCAGGACUGAAUGUUUCAAGGAUGUAGUGCUUGAGAGUGCAAAAAUUAAGAGCUUGGAUAAGAACCACCUAUAUUUGUUGACAGACAGAAAUUGAAAAUAGCAUGCAGAAUAAACUUAAGGUAAAAGGAGAAGAUAAACAGGUGAUUGUUGGGGAAACGAACAAGUGGAAUUGAUUUUUAUUUAUUUAUUUAUUAGAUAGAAGAGAAUAAGACAUAUUUGUAUUGUGAAAGUAAAGAGUCAGAAGAGUUUAGGAGUAAUGCAAAAGAAAUAUAUUGGGAACAUGAAGCCAUGGAAACAAAUAGAGGAGAUCAAAUUU